rnacentral:tRNA from 2 species
GUGAUUGUAGCUCAGUUGGUUAGAGCGUCGGAUUGUGGUUCCGAAGGUCGCGGGUUCGAGACCCGUCUUUCACCCGA